rnacentral:misc_RNA from 1 species
GUGCAGUUUGCAAUCUCAUAUUGCCUUGCUUGGUCAAGCAUCUUUGCACUUGCAUGGAAGAUGUUUUAGAGAUACACAUAGACCAUUUUAGAAAAGUCAUCAGCAUCUUUACAGCCACCAAUGCCUGGGUUUUGGGAAGAUAUCUUGUAUCCAGAAUCUUGAAUGAAGGCUGCUCUUAUAUGGUUUUUGGGGAGCAACCAGAAUAUUGUAUGCUCACUAACAGUGGCCGG